ACAAAACAAAUUGGGUCCAUUGAAUUAAAUAACAGUUCACAGGAAGUAGAACUAGUAGGAUGCAAGUAAAGGCAAAAUCAUUUCUUCAUUGAUACCUUUUUCUUCAGAUUUAUAGAAAGCUAUCAAUUUGAUGAUCAACAAAUUCAACUAAAGGAUUCAACUCAUAAUUUGGACUUAUGAUGAAGCUUUUGCAUAACAUGAAGUGAGGUUUAGAGAUGAAGAAAUGCAGAGAUGCUUUGCAUCAAUCUGCUAAUAUGUCUUGAUGACAUUUCAAACUAGGGGCUGAAUCACAAUAUAGUUUUAUUGGAUAAAUUGUUGAAGAGGUCUCAAUGAAGAUCAACUGCAUUCCUUUGCAUGUUGCAAGCAAACCAGUUGGGUUGGAGUUUCAAAUGUUAGAAGUUACCUCUCUCCUUGGCCUUGAAUCUAAUGAGAGAGUCAACAUGGUAGGAGGCAUUUAUGGAAUCGGUGGAAUAGGAAAAUCAACAAUUUAUCGUGUUGUGCAUAACUUGACUGGUGAUCAAUUCAAGGAUAUUUUUUAUGUGGGUACAAUUCGAGGGUGUGUUAUCUUUCCGACAUUAGAGAGAGGGCAAUCAUGAUCUAGCUCAGCUCCAAGAACACUAAUUUCUGUAAUACUCGGGGAAAAGGAUAUUAAAGUGGGAGAUGUUUACAAAAGAAUUUCAAUAAUUAAAACGAGGCUACAAAGAAAGAAAGUCAUUCUGAUUUUUGAUAAUGUUGACAAAGAGAAACAGUUACAGGUACUUGUAGAAGGACACGAUUGGUUUGGCUUCGACGGCAAGAUCCUAAUCACUACAAGAGACAAGCAUUUGCUGGCCACUCAUGGGAUUGUCAAAGUCUAUGAGGUCAAAACAGCUAAACUAAGAAAAGGCUCUUGAGUUAUUUAGUUGGAAUACAUUUAAAAAUAAAAAAAAUAGAUCCAGGUUAUGUGUUGCAAAAUGUGCCGUGUCUUAUUGUCAUGGUCUUCCCUUGGCUUUGGAGGUGAUAGGUUCUCAACUGUUUGGAAAAAAUUUAGCUGUAUGGAAAUUCACAUUAGAUAAAUAUGAAAGAAUUAUUCGUAAAGACAUCCAUGACAUUCUCAAAGUUAGCCAUGAUUAUUUAGAAGAAGAUUUAAAUGAAGAUGGCAUAUAAAAAGUGGAGUGCAGUUUGAACUUUUUUGUCCGCCAAAUAAAUCGUACCGUCCAAGAGAUGCCACGUAAAGGAAAAUAAAAAACACAAAAGUAAAGAGCUCGAACAGACACCCCCCCUGAUUAGUCACCCCUCCAGCUAUCUUGCUCUGCCGUGGUCGCUAGUCGCCGUAGCCUUGCCGCCACCGUGGGUGUGAAUGUGCAUCUACAGGACAACUUUCUUGUUCCUACUCUCCCUAGCAAGUAUCUCUUUUUUUCAAAAUGCAUUUUAAUUUUUACAAUGUUGCCAUUUCAUUUGUAUGUUUUAUUUUACUUUAUUAGACUUGUUUUUAAAUCAUAAUCACCACCUAUUCAAACAAAAUUAUUUAAGGAAGACCAUGUGGCGUUUUAUUUUAAGCCAGUGUUGUCGAUGGCAGAUGGCGGUCCAUGGUGGAGAGCCAAAAUCCCGCCAUACCGGCCGCUUUGCGGUGCCGUUAGUGUGCCAUACCAUAGAAUUGUUUUCCUCACAUUUCUAGUGUUAGACUUCACAUUAGAGUUCCAAUUGAUUUUGAAUGGAUUUCACACUAGGCUAACAUUUUGCAUAAAUAAUUGUUUCCCAUUUUGCAGAGUUGAAGGAUUUUCUCUCUAGCAUCAUCCACCAAUUAGGUGCUAGUGCAAGCAUAGCUCAAGAAGAUGAUGGUAAUGUAGUACCAGAUCUAGUCCUCGGUGAGACUUUUGAGACAACUGCUUAGGAGACUUAGGCAACUUUGAGUUUGUCUAAUGUAUUGUGCAUCAUUAUUGGAGGUAACAAUCAAUUUUGAUAUUUAUAUUUUUAAGACUUAGGUGGUUUGGGCUGUUAGAGAGAAGACCUAUCGAUUUUGUGGUAACGAGAAUGAAUUAGAUGGAGAGGAGUCAAACACUAGAGGUAGAGGUAGACCUAAAAAAACUAAAAGAGAAGUUAUUUAGAAAUAUCUCGAGAUUAACGAUUUAGAUAGAAGAUGAUCAUGAAUAGAAUACAAUGGCGGAAGUUGAUCUUGUUGGUGAUUUUAGUAUCAUCAAUGUAAUUUUGGUAGUAAUGUGAUUUACUGAAGGCCGAUGCAAUUAUGCGUUAAGCUUGAAACGAGUUAGGGUAGUGCGGAGUGCACGCUCGUAGAGCCAAACGUACAAUUGAAUAUGAAUAAUAGAAACGGUGUGUCUGUUCGUUGCUAUUAUUGGUCUCCUAUAUAAGGAGUCUUUCGGUCUCGAUUUGACAUACGAAAUCAUAUACUUCCUCUACAUUCUAAUCUGUUCUCCAUUGUCAGAAACAGAUUGAUUCUUCAAGAAUUAUCCCCGCAAAGAUUUCGUGAACCCAGACAAGUAUAGGGUCGAAAUACUUUGUUCGGAAAGUGAACAAACACGAUUCUUGAAGAUAUCCAGGAUUAUCACACCAAAUCUCUAACAGAUCUGUGUAGCCGACCUAAUAGUAAGAUAAGGCUCGGUUGUUGUUGUAUUCUUAAUUUAUGGUCUCAAAUACGAGAUAAGGCUUGAUUACUGAUUCCUUGGUUCGAAUGCCCAUUUCUUGGAUUGGAAUCUACUAAAAAAAAUUCUAAUCAUGUUUUUUGAAAUCAUCUGAGAUUAGGCCACAAAUCAAGAUGAGGUGAUUGAACAUGUACAAAUAGAGGGAUCGUCUCUUUUAUUCCUAACUCUUUAAAUUUUAGACCUUUAGUUAUUGUAAUUUGUGGAAAUAUUUUUAUGUGUUAAUAUCUAGGUUGCCAAUAGCGCGCUAUAGCGGUGUAGCGUAGCGGUAGAGGACCUCGCCGCAACGCUUUUGGGCUGCUAACCGCUAUAUGAAAUUGCGGAAAUAGCAGCCGCGAUUUGUGGAAGCGUAGCGGUGGAAUAGCGGUGCAAUAGCGCUUUACAAACCACUAUUGUGAAGAUGAGGUCAAUACUGUAAUUUAGAAUUUAUUUUAAAGGAAAAUUUGUAUUUUUCCCUUUUAUUUCAAUAAUAUAAAAGCUAAAAGUGAGACAUUAGGUCAUUUACAUUCUCUCUCUUCACUCAAAUCAGCAGACGUUCUCCUUCUCCCCUGUUUUUAUAUCACGCUUCCACUUUUGCUCUUCACAGCAAGUUCUCCUUCUGAAGUGAAGAUGAGAUUGAUGUGAUUAGUCAUUUUGUUUACGUUUAGAUUUUGAUUUAGUCAUUUUGAGUACAUUCCUAAUUUGAGUCAUUAUGUUUGGUUAUCUAUGUUGCAACUUUUGGUUUAUGUAUGUUGCAACUUUUGUUUUUAAGUUAUUAUGUAUGUUGUUGGAACCUAUGUUUAGUAUUUAUGUAUGUUGUUGGAACCUAUUUUAAUAUUUAUGUUUUCAUAUUAAGUAUUUACCUUGAUUUUUAAAAGCUCACAAUAGCGGUCAUCCCGCUAUCCGCUGUGCCACUAUAGCAUAUGGGAGGUCUGGCGCUACACGCCACUAUCUGAGAUUAACAACCUAGGUUAAUAUUACUCUUCAUAUUACUCGAUCCGUGCGAAUGCACGGGUUUAUUACUAGUUUACAUUGAAAUCUAAUAACUCUUGCCCUUAAAGUCAGUUAGUGAGAAUGACACACUGUUUCAUACGUUGUGAAUGACUAGUGUUAUAUUUAACUAAAUGUUAAAUUAAGUGGUUCGUGAAUUACUUAAGAAAAGAAGUCCCAAAGAAGUUUUGUUAUUAAAUAUCUGUUAUUGUGGUGCUAUGACGGAUAUACAUGGCUGUUUUUAGGCUCGCAAUUGUAAAUAUAGGUCAAUAUUAUCGAUUUUUCUUAAUAAUCCGUAUACAACGCCACAAAGCUUCUGUGUGGAGGGUUUUUGGAUCUCUGCGGAGAACCUAAAUUUAAAUUCUAUGUAAAAUAAUUAUUGAUUUGAUUUAACUUAUUUUUAACUCAAUUCAAAAUUAAUACAGCUAGUUCCCAUGAAAAUUGAACGAAUAACACCAAAAUAAAGAAAGAAGAAGUACUUUUUUUUUGUAUGUAAAGCAGUUUUAAACUAUGUCUUAAAAAUCGGCUCGACCAUGGACCUGCUAAGUUCAAGGAGUCAAGAGGUUGAUGGUCGAACAAGAAAGUCACUCCACAUGACUUAUUCGGGUAAAACCAGAUGACCAGUCAUAAUAUUCG